GCACAGGAGGAUUUCUCGAAGACGAAGUAUGGUCCAUUACACCAAGAAACACUGACAUAUAAUUGCCAAACAGCUAUACCUUGGUUUAACGUAGACAUCUCGAGGAAAAACUGCAUUCUUUUAUGAUUUUUGUGGCGGUUUUUCUUUAUUUUUUUGCUUAUGUUUCACUGUUUUCUAGUGUUUUGAAUAAAAUUCCCGCCUAUUUGCAAAAUACGAGUCCACAAUCGUGUUGAAAAUGUUGUCAGCGGUCGUUACUCGCUGCUUACUUGAUGUAAUUUUCUGUUUAAACGCCCCACGCAAUCCACACGCACAGUUAACUACGUGAUUAGUUAACUAUCCGACUAACUACGUUUUGUGCAACGCAGUUAAGUCAUGUAGUUAACUAAUUACAGUUAAGGAUUUAACUACAGUGAUUAACGCUAACUACAGUUAGCGCUAAUUACGUUUUUAUACAACCGGCCCCAGAAAGUAUACUAAUUGAUUGUUACUGUAGAAACCGUCUACAUGCCGUAUAGAGUAUCCUGCAUCAAAUAAUGAGCGCGCAGAAAUAGCUACAUAAGAGCGCCCUGGGCUACAGGCUAAGGUGGUUCGAAUAAAGAUCACACAAACUCGGUUAUCAGAACUGCUAUUUAUAUAUCAAAAAUAUAGUUGUUACUGGUUUACUGUUUACAGUGAUAAUUGCUUUUUCAAAGCUCCAGAAUUUGAUGAAAUUUUUUGAGUACGGAACAAAUAUACAGUAUAUAUAUAUAGUCUAUGUUUAAGAGUGCACGAAUAUAUUUACAACUAUAGACAGAUUGAUUCUAAACUGUGGUAACCAGAGUGGCGCGCGUAUGCAACGAUUGCACGCCCUCUAGUUCACUACAAGGAUGUUUCAGAGAGUUCGACGAC